rnacentral:rRNA from 1 species
AGGACGAACGCUGGCGGCGUGCUUAACACAUGCAAGUCGAGCGGAAAGGCCCUUCGGGGUACUCGAGCGGCGAACGGGUGAGUAACACGUGAGCAACCUGCCCUUAGCUUCGGGAUAGCUCCGGGAAACCGGAAUUAAUACCGGAUAUGACUAGUGGCCGACAUCAGCCAUGGUGGAAAGUUUUUCGGCUAGGGAUGGACUCGCGGCCUAUCAGCUAGUUGGUGAGGUAACGGCUCACCAAGGCGACGACGGGUAGCCGGCCUGAGAGGGCGACCGGCCACACUGGGACUGAGACACGGCCCAGACUCCUACGGGAGGCAGCAGUGGGGAAUAUUGCGCAAUGGGCGAAAGCCUGACGCAGCGACGCCGCGUGGGGGAUGAAUGCCUUCGGGUUGUAAACCCCUUUCAGCAGGGACGAAGCGAAAGUGACGGUACCUGCAGAAGAAGCGCCGGCUAACUACGCGCCAGCAGCCGC